rnacentral:rRNA from 1 species
GACGAACGCUGGCGGCGUGCUUAACACAUACAAGUCGAACGGAAAGGCCCCUUCGGGGGUACUCGAGUGGCGAACAGGUGAGUAACACGUGAGUAACCUGCCCUUGACUUCGGGAUAACUUCAGGAAACUGGGGCUAAUACCGGAUAGGAAUCCUUGCUGCAUGGUGGGGGUUGGAAAGCUUCGGCGGUUUUGGAUGGACUCGCGGCUUAUCAGCUUGUUGGUGGGGUAGUGGCUUACCAAGGCUUUGACGGGUAGCCGGCCUGAGAGGGCGACCGGCCACAUUGGGACUGAGAUACGGCCCAGACUCCUACGGGAGGCAGCAGUGGGGAAUAUUGCACAAUGGGCGGAAGCCUGAUGCAGCAACGCCGCGUGCGGGAUGACGGCCUUCGGGUUGUAAACCGCUUUCAGCAGGGGCGAAGCUUGUGGUGACGGUACCUGCAGAAGAAGCACCGGCUAACUACGUG